UAAAGAACUAAUCAAAUCUCUUUAAUGUUUAAGCCUACUUGUGUCUGACAUUUUGUUACUUGCAGCCGAAAGCAGCCUAGCUGAUACACAAUCGUCCACCUGCCCCCGGUCACCCUUACAGCUCAGAGGUGAACUCUAGAGAAAUGCAAAGCCCCAAUUGGGAGCCAGCCAGAGACUCUCCUGGUCUUUAGCUGGGAAAAUAGGACUGCGGGGGUGGGGGCAGCAUCAGAUGGAUCACAGACUCCAAGCAAAGGCAUGAUAGGAGUUUAUUUACAGACAAGACACAGCAACCAGCACCCACUUGGGCUCUGACCAGGGGAGGUGGUAGACAAGACCCCAGAUAUAUAUAAAUAUACAUAUAGGUCCCAGCACCUUCAGCACCAGAACGUUCCCCAGCCAGGUCCCUGCCAGAAGGACCAAGAGUCAGGCAGGAUUGAGGACACAGAAAAGAGAGGGCCCCAGUCUUUGCCAGGUAUCAGUGAUCACCUGUUAUGGUCCCCAUG
rnacentral:antisense_RNA from 1 species